AGAUUGAACGCUGGCGGCAGGCCUAACACAUGCAAGUCGAGCGGUAGAGAGGUGCUUGCAUCUCUUGAGAGCGGCGGACGGGUGAGUAAUGCCUAGGAAUCUGCCUAGUGGUGGGGGAUAACGUUCGGAAACGGACGCUAAUACCGCAUACGUCCUACGGGAGAAAGCGGGGGACCUUCGGGCCUCGCGCCAUUAGAUGAGCCUAGGUCGGAUUAGCUAGUUGGUGAGGUAAUGGCUCACCAAGGCGACGAUCCGUAACUGGUCUGAGAGGAUGAUCAGUCACACUGGAACUGAGACACGGUCCAGACUCCUACGGGAGGCAGCAGUGGGGAAUAUUGGACAAGUGGGCGAAAGCCGUAGAUCCAGCCAUCGCCGCGUGUGUGAAGAAGGUCUUACGGAUUAGUAAAGCUACGUUUAAGUGGGAGGAAGGGCAAGUUACCUAAUACGUAUCUUGUUUUUGACGUUUACCGAACAAGAAUUAAGACACCGGCUAACUCGUGUGCCAGCAA
rnacentral:rRNA from 1 species